rnacentral:rRNA from 1 species
UUGAAAGGGAAACGAUUGAAGUCAGUCGUACCAGCGGGAAUCAACCUUUCGAGUGGGGUUUUGGAGUUUUUUGAAGAGUGUCAAAACCUUUAUUUCAAAAUAUUCGCUCUUUUGGUGUACUUUCUCGUGGGUAGGUUAACAUCGAUUUUGAUCAUCAUAAAAAAGAUUGGAGGAAUGUAGCUUCGAUCUUGUAUUGAAGUGUUAUAGCCUUUGGUAAAUGUGAUGAUUAGGAUCGAGGAUUGCAACGAAUACCCUUUUGGGCUAUCCGCCUGAUCUCUGAUACGUGGCCUUGGUAUCGAAAGCGUGCUUAUGGUAUUGAGGUAUUACGGUCAAAAGGUUAGAACGGAUUACAUUCGUUAAGGAUGUUGACGUA